rnacentral:rRNA from 1 species
UACGGAGGGUGCAAGCGUUAUCCGGAUUCACUGGGUUUAAAGGGUGCGUAGGCGGACACUUAAGUCCGUGGUGAAAUCUCUGGGCUUAACCCAGAAACUGCCAUGGAUACUAUUUGUCUUGAAUGUUGUGGAGGUUAGCGGAAUAUGUCAUGUAGCGGUGAAAUGCAUAGACAUGACAUAGAACACCAAUUGCGAAGGCAGCUGGCUACACAAAUAUUGACGCUGAGGCACGAAAGCGUGGGGAUCAAACAGG